GACGUAGGGGGCGAGCGUUGUCCGGAAUUACUGGGCGUAAAGAGCACGUAGGCGGGAAUUUAAGUCAGGUGUGAAAGACCGCAGCUUAACUGCGGGGUUGCACUUGAAACUGGAUUUCUUGAGGGCAGGAGAGGAAAGCAGAAUUCCUGGUGUAGCGGUGAAAUGCGUAGAAAUCAGGAGGAAUACCAGUGGCGAAGGCGGCUUUCUGGACUGACCCUGACGCUGAGGUGCGAAAGCGUGGGUAGCAAACAGGAUUAGAUACCCUGGUAGUCCACGCCGUAAACGAUGGAUACUAGGUGUAGGAGGUAUCGACCCCUUCUGUGCCGCAGCUAACGCAAUAAGUAUCCCGCCUGGGGAGUACGGUCGCAAGGCUGAA
rnacentral:rRNA from 1 species